CCUACGGGAGGCAGCAGUGGGGAAUAUUGCACAAUGGGCGAAAGCCUGAUGCAGCGACGCCGCGUGAGGGAUGACGGCCUUCGGGUUGUAAACCUCUUUCGCUCAUGGUCGGGUAGUGGGUAAAGAAGCGCCGGCUAACUACGUGCCAGCAGCCGCGGUAAUACGUAGGGCGCGAGCGUUGUCCGGAAUUAUUGGGCGUAAAGGGCUUGUAGGCGGUUGGUCGCGUCUGCCGUGAAAUCCUCUGGCUUAACUGGGGGCGUGCGGUGGGUACGGGCUGACUUGAGUGCGGUAGGGGAGACUGGAACUCCUGGUGUAGCGGUGGAAUGCGCAGAUAUCAGGAAGAACACCGGUGGCGAAGGCGGGUCUCUGGGCCGUACUGACGCUGAGGAGCGAAAGCGUGGGGAGCGAACAGGAUUAGAUACCCUUGUAGUC
rnacentral:rRNA from 1 species